rnacentral:rRNA from 1 species
UACAGAGGUCCCAAGCGUUGUUCGGAUUCACUGGGCGUAAAGGGUGCGUAGGUGGUCGGGUAAGUCUGAUGUGAAAUCUCCAAGCUCAACUUGGAAACUGCAUCGGAUACUAUUCGGCUGGAGGGUUGGAGGGGGGACUGGAAUGCUUGGUGUAGCAGUGAAAUGCGUAGAUAUCAAGCGGAACACCAGUGGCGAAGGCGAGUCCCUGGACAGCUCCUGACACUGAGGCACGAAAGCUAGGGGAGCAAACAGG